UACGUAGGGUGCAAGCGUUAAUCGGAAUUACUGGGCGUAAAGCGCACGUAGGCGGUUUUGUAAGUCUGACGUGAAAUCCCCGGGCUCAACCUGGGAAUUGCGUUGGAGACUGCAAGGCUAGAAUCUGGCAGAGGGGGGUAGAAUUCCACGUGUAGCAGUGAAAUGCGUAGAGAUGUGGAGGAACACCGAUGGCGAAGGCAGCCCCCUGGGUCAAGAUUGACGCUCAUGCACGAAAGCGUGGGGAGCAAACAGG
rnacentral:rRNA from 1 species